UGUUUUCGGUGUCUCUGCAGAUUCAUAAUACUCAGAUGCUCAGUAGCACGGCCCAAAGGGCAUCACAAGUGAUGCCCUAGAGACAUGAGAAAUAAACCCAGAAGAAAUGGUGAUAAUAAUAUCGACAGAAGUUGAUCUCAGCGAUGAGGUCGAAGAGGAACUGGAAAAAUUAUGGACCACCAUCUUGGUUUUCUUCAUUCUCUUCCUCAUCAGUGUGUGUUACAGCACCACAAUGACACUCUUCAAGGUAAAAUGGAUUUUCUCCACUGUGGCAGACCUGAAGAAGCAGCCUGUAGGCCCUGAAUACAAGAAUGUCAUCCCACAGACAUUCUAGAAGCAUUUUCCUAGGAAUCUCAUCCUCCAUCUUCAAAGGUGCAAAGAGGAAGCCACUGCCUGGAGCCGCAGCUUCAUCUCCCAUGUCAACAUCCAAGGCCCUCUCUCAUUUCCUAUCUUAUUCAGCUCCUACUUCUCUCCUGGCAAGUGAUGAGGCCCUUUCAGCACAGCGAUUGUCUUAGGGGGAGGUAAUUAUCCUGAAUGGCAUGUGUUGGGACAGUGCCUUCAAGAGGAAACACUUUUAUGGGGCCCGAUAUCUUAAUUGGCUUCCACCAAGAGUCAGAAACAUCUGCUUCUCCCACCCAGUAAAGAACCGAAGGACAGUCACCCCCACAAAUAAAAAGGUGCCAUUUCAGUGGUGGUGCCCCUGUUGUGGAAUGGUCUCCCUAGAGAUAUUCUGCUGGCACAGGUGAAUAAAUACUAACAGGUCAAUAAUACAUUCUACUCCCAGGCUUUUAAGCAGUGGUAGUUUUACUCUUAUUGUUGCUUUUGCUGCUCUUAUUUUGUGGGGGGUUUUAAAAAAAUAUUUUACUAUUUUAGAUUUAGUGUGCAUGUGUGUGUAUAUAUAUAUAUAUAUAUCUUACUGUGUGCUUUUAAAUAUUUCAUUAUUUUGAAUCUAGUCUUCAUGUUUGAGAGGCAUACCAUCCUGGCAGUUUUUGCUUUUUUAUGAAUGUCUGGUGUCUCUAGCCCCAACAUGCCUGACACUAUCUGGCUUCUAACUUCACCCAGAGAUGUGAAACUCCACUUUCCAGUAUCUUUGCCAGGCCUCUUUAACCAUAUGAAAUAAAUAUCCUUAUCUAUCUACGUGCAAUACGCUCAAAUAAGCCAGCUCUUUUACCCAUCUCUUACACACCAUUUCCUUACUGCCACGGGAUUGUAGUCAGCCAAGUUCUACUCAGAUAAGACCAACUUAAACUAAGGUAGGCAUGCCCAUUGACUUCAACUGGUCUACUCUGAGUAAGACUAGCACAGGAUACAGUCUAUGGUCUUCAAACUACCAGUGACUACCAAUCCCUUAAUCCAUUGCAUACUCAUUUAUUGGAGGUUGUUAAGCAGAGAAUAGCUACCUAUCUGGGAUCAUAUAGCAAUAGAUUUCUGCACCAUUAGGGGGCUGGGCUGGAUAUCCUUUGAGGGCCUUUCCAGUUGAUGCAGGUUUUGUGAUCAUUACUGUUUUUAGUGCACAAGCAUCCCAGAAACAAUAUGCAAGAAGUGCUAAUGAUGUGAACCUUCCAAUCCCUGUAUAUGCAUGUAAAUAAA